UGUAAAUUAUCUGCCAUGAUUAAGCAAGCCAAGCUGAAGUUUUGCCUUUGUUGGGACUUCUGAAACAGACUAUCAAACAGUACUACAAAUUUGAAAUGGUGUUCUUUCCUUGCAAAUGCACAGCAAAUUUUCAGGGGCCUGCCGAUGGUUUGUUGAACAGCAAAUUUUUAGGAGUUCUGCCUGAUUUUCUUACCAUGGUUAAGAAAAUAACAUGCUGGCAAUGAUUUGUGAGUAAAGCAUGUUCCAAUUCCUCUUGGAUUGGCGCGUCGUUUUAGUAUUUUUUAUAAACAUCAUUUAUCCAUAUCAAGUAUGCUUAAUCUUGGUAUAUUCCCAUUUUUUCAUUUUCACAAAUCACUCUUUCUAUAUCGUUCACAGGCUUCUGAAGAUGCUAGGAGAAUUGUUGACGAAGAACGAACUAAUGCACGCAUGGAGAUUGAAAAUGCUAGAGCUGCUGUACAAAGAGUUCAAAAAGUACUUCAAGAGAAAGAGAACAGUUCACAAAGAAUUGGAAAGCAGAAGAGGAAGAUCUAGAAAUUUGCAUACCUAGAGGAACUCGCCUUCUUGAUGCCCCUUGCUUACAGAAGGUCGACAUCGACUGAGUACGAGCGGCCGUAGGUCACAAGGGGGCGUGGAACUGCUGCAGCCCAUCUGUGACAGAGCAGACUCCUGCGAAUUUGCCCAGCUAGGUACAUCCUCUACAUGGUAGCAACAUGAAGAAAAUUCUUCCUUUUUGCUUCCAUGA